UAGGGAAUCUUCCACAAUGGACGAAAGUCUGAUGGAGCGACGCCGCGUGAACGAUGAAGGCCUUCGGGUCGUAAAGUUCUGUUGUAAGGGAAGAACAAGUGCCGCAGGCAAUGGCGGCACCUUGACGGUACCUUGCGAGAAAGCCACGGCUAACUACGUGCCAGCAGCCGCGGUAAUACGUAGGUGGCAAGCGUUGUCCGGAAUUAUUGGGCGUAAAGCGCGCGCAGGCGGCCUCUUAAGUCUGAUGUGAAAGCCCCCGGCUCAACCGGGGAGGGCCAUUGGAAACUGGGAGGCUUGAGUAUAGGAGAGAAGAGUGGAAUUCCACGUGUAGCGGUGAAAUGCGUAGAGAUGUGGAGGAACACCAGUGGCGAAGGCGACUCUUUGGCCUAUAACUGACGCUGAGGCGCGAAAGCGUGGGGAGCAAACAGGAUUAGAUACCCUGGUAGUCCACGCCGUAAACGAUGAGUGCUAGGUGUUGGAGGGUUUCCGCCCUUCAGUGCUGAAGCUAACGCAUUAAGCACUCCGCCUGGGGAGUACGGUCGCAAGG
rnacentral:rRNA from 1 species